UACGUAGGUGGCAAGCGUUAAUCGGAAUUACUGGGCGUAAAGCGUGCGCAGGCGGUUGUGCAAGACCGAUGUGAAAUCCCCGAGCUUAACUUGGGAAUUGCAUUGGUGACUGCACGGCUAGAGUGUGUCAGAGGGGGGUAGAAUUCCACGUGUAGCAGUGAAAUGCGUAGAGAUGUGGAGGAAUACCGAUGGCGAAGGCAGCCCCCUGGGAUAACACUGACGCUCAUGCACGAAAGCGUCGGGAGCAAACAGG
rnacentral:rRNA from 1 species